rnacentral:rRNA from 1 species
UACGUAGGGUGCAAGCGUUAUCCGGAAUUAUUGGGCGUAAAGAGCUCGUAGACGGUCUGUCGCGUCUGCUGUGAAAACCCGAGGCUCAACCUCGGGCCUGCAGUGGGUACGGGCAGACUAGAGUGCGGUAGGGGGGAUUGGAAUUCCUGGUGUAGCGGUGAAAUGCGCAGAUAUCAGGAGGAACACCAAUUGCGAAGGCAGCUCGCUGGGACGUAACUGACGCUGAGACGCGAAAGCGUGGGGAGCAAACAGG